rnacentral:tRNA from 1 species
GGAAAAUCCGUCGACUUUUAAAUCGUGAGGGUUCAAGUCCCUCUAUCCC